AGAGUGUCCUGCUUCCUCCGAGAGCUUAGCUGGGGAGAAGAGCUGGGAGCGACUCGAGCUGAGGACGUGGAAGGGGUGAGUGCUAAUUCCUCAGGGCCCGCGGGGCCCACCCCCGGGCCCACCCCCAAUCCUACCCCCGCCAGGCCCUUCCCCCGUGGGCGCCGGCAGCUCCAGGCCCAGCCCAGGGCGUCCAACGCGGAGGGGGUGCAGGAGUUCUCCUGGGCCUGACAGCCUCAGCCGUGCAGAAACCCGGCCUAGGGAGGGCAUGCAAAGAAGGACGCCAGAGAAAAAGGUCGAGACAAGCCCCAGACCCCAGGAAGUGACUGUUUGGGGGAAGGGAGGAUUUCCUUCCCAAGGAAAAGGGGACAGAUGAGGAAUGCACUUCGCGUCCACGCCGCCCUGGUCAGGGAGCCGCCUAGAGUCCCGGCUUCGGCCCAGUCUCUCCUGCUCCCUCCCUUAGCGUCCCGCGGUGCCCGGGCCUCUUGGCGCCUGGCACCCCUCGUCUCGGGUACUCACAGAGUCCGGGGCUGCCCGUCGUCUUCCAUCAUGCCCGCUCCGGACACUGCGCUCCAACCAGGAGGAGCAGGAGGAGGAGGAGGAUGAACAAAAUGGCCGCCGCCACCAGCCAGGCAGGAAACAGGGCAGAGCGCAGGCGCGACCCGCCAGGUCACCGCUCAGGCCAGCCGCGACAGCCUGCAAGGGGGACGACCGAGGGGAGAGAAAAAAGGGCCGCCGAGGAAACCCUGGGACCCGCUCACGACGGAUCACGUCGUCGCUGUGGGCCUCUGGCCGGCCGAAGCCCAGCCAGCUCCGGGAGAGAUCGGGCAAAAAGAGAAACGUCGUGAAGCCGAAGUCUCUGGGAAUUGUGGUCCUGGAAAUGAGAGAGGGAAGCACUUCUGCAGAGGACUUCUGGAACCUGUGGUUAAGAGGAGCCGCCGGCGCCCACCCGCGCUGGGACGUGAAGAGGAGACUUCUGGGUAGUGUAGUCAUACGUGAGGACGUGCGACGACCAGGAAGUCGGCGGGCUGGGAGGUAAAGGGAAGAAUAAAAGCGACAUUGAAAGGCGGGGAGACCAAGUGGGGAAAAGCGCUGUCUGGGAAAGCGAACUACAAGUCCCAGAGUUCCUCGCGCCGGGGGCUGUCCUCGGACUGCUCCAGGCAUUGUAAGGCUCUUCUGUUGGCCCAGUCUGAGCUGCUGCUCCGCCUUCGUCCAGCCCGAGAGCGGUUUCUUCAACUGUGGCUCAGGCAGCACUCUCCCUCCGCGUGGUGUCCGAGCCAGCAGGGCCGUCCGGCCCUCCUGUGUUCAUCAGAACGGCUGGCUCGCGUUAGUCAACCGCCGCUUCGCGCGACAGUCAGAAGAGAGGCUGUGCUGGCGGGGACCCGGAGGGGUUGGGGUGUUUUGGGGACUCGAUUUCCCACAAAUAGGUAUUUCUAGCCUAUUUGUUAAAUACAAGUAGGUGGCCUGCUUGUAAAUUGCUUUACAAGUUUCAGAGGUUUCCCUAUCAAAUGUCUCAUCGGAUAGUGGGGUAAGAAGAGGAGCCCUAUUAUAAUGACUUGCCCAACUCCCCCCGUAUUCUUGGAGUUAAAAGAAAAAAAAAUCCUUGGGCAGAGACGUGCACAAACAUAAAGUUGCGUUUACAGACAUCAGUCAUGUGGGCUAGAAACGCAGUUUUGCAUGAAGAUAGGGGAAGCCAUGUUCAUACUAGCUCUGCAUCCCUGUAGAAUUUGUCUUCUCACCCCCCACAACAGUUCCUGGUGUGCUUUUUUCCUCCUCUAAGUACCUUCAGGAGAAAGUACUUGGUCUUGUAGCUUAGUGAAGAGUGGCGAUGAAGAAAGAUCUUUCAGCCCAUUGCCAGAACUUAACUGCCCCGGUUAGUAAUGGCUUAAGAGUUGCUUCUGCCGACAUGUACUAAGUGCAUGUCGACCUCUGCAAGUGGCGGUGCGUAUGCGUGCCACUGAACAUUAAUCUUGAAAGCAGAAUCAACCAUGCAGCAAGCCCUUAUGUUGUCCAUUUUCAGGGGAGGAAAUUUCAACCUGAAAGACUUCAUAGAGACACGGCAAAGGAGUUGAGCCCCAUAAGAGUCCGUAGGAACAACAAAAGGCUCAGACGCCAGGACCCAUGGCUAAAAUGUAUGGGCUGGGGAUGCGGGCGGGAGCGGGGGGAAGGGAACUAAAGCUAGAGAGGACCUUGUAGAACCGUGUUGUCAAGAAUCUAUUUCAUGCUGAGGAAUUUGAGCUUUCUCUUCCAGGCAGUGAGGAGCCACUCAAAGGUUUUGUCUAUGUUUUUAAUUGGACCUAGGUGUAGAACUGGAUUUAAUUAUAAUCCAAUUCAUUAACCCAUGCCUGGCCCGCUGUGAUAGUUUCCUGUUGAUGCUGUAACAAAUUACUGCAAAUUUAGAUACUUAAAACAACACGAAUUUAUUUUCUUACAAUUCUGGAAGUCAGAAGUCCAAAAUCAGUUACACUGGGCUAAAAUCAAGGUGUCGGCAGGGCUGGUUCCUUGCCUUUUCCAGCUUCUAGAGGCUGCCUGCAUUCCUUGGCUCUUGGCCCCAUCCUCCAUCUUCAAGAAAAGAAGCAUAGUAUCUUCUUUCUUCUCUGCCUCUGUACGUACAUCGUGAUUCUCCUGCCACCCCUUUUCAUUUACGAGAACCUUUUGUGAUUACUUUGGGCGAAGAUUAUCUCAAGAUUCUUAAUCACAUCUGCAAAGUCCCUUUUAGCAUAACAUUCCCAAAUUCUGGGAAUUAGGACAUAGAAAUCUUUGGUGGACCAUUAUUCAGUUUACCGCACCCACCUUUAUUACUUUAGUUUUGAUUAUAGCCACAAACCCACCACACUAAAAAGUUAUAAUGACACGAGUUUAUAUCUGUAUCUAUGCUAUACCUCCUACACACAAUAACACACACCCCUGCCUUCGCUUGGGGUAACCAUCUUUCUGAAUCCUGUCUUUACUAUUUAUUGCUUUCCUUCUACAAGGUUUUAUUCCACAUGUACAUAGUCCUAAAAAUCAUAUGUAUAUACAUGUAUAUUUGAGUUUUUUUUUAACUUAGUAAAAAGAAUAUGCCCACUACAAACUAGAAUGGUUAAAAUGGGCAUGUUUACUGGCAGUGAAAUUAUUAAGGUUAAAAUCCAAAACACUAACACCACCAAGUGCUGGUGAGUAUGAAAAGCAACAGGAACUAUCAUUCUUUGCUGGUAGGACUGCAAAAUGUUAUAGCCCCUUUGGAGGACAGCUUGUCAGUUCCUUACAAAACUAAACAUAAUGCCUAGGUACUUACCCAAAUGAGCUGAAAACAUGUUUACAUAAAAACCUGCACACAAAUGUUUACAGCAGCUUUGUUCAUAAUCAUCCCAAAUUGGAAGCAACUAAGAUGUCCUUGAUAUAAGUGAAUGGAUAAACUGUCGUACAAGGUGGUACAUCCAUGCAAAGAAAUAUUGUUCAGUGAUUUUUUUAAAAAGAGCUAUUGAUAUGGUUUGGCUCUGUAUCCCCACCCAAUCUGAUCUUGAAUUGUACUCCCAUAAUUCCCACGUGUUGUGGGAGGGACCUGGUGGGAGAUAAUUUGAAUCCUGGGGGCAGUUUCCCCCAGACUGUUCUUGUGGUAGUGAAUAAGUCUCACGAGAUCUGAUGGUUUUAUCAGGGGUUUCCGCUUUUGCAUCAUCCUCAUUUUCUCUUGCUGCCACCAUGAUUCUGAGGCCUUCCCAGCCAUGUGGAACUCUAAGUCCAAUUAAACCUCUUUUUCUUCCCAGUCUGGGGUAUGUCUUUAUCAGCAGUGUGAAAACAGACUAAUACAGCUCUCAAGCUACAAAAAGACAUGGAGGAAUGUUAAAUGUACAGCACCAAGAGAAGCCCAGUGGAAAAGGCUGUAAACGCUACAACUUUAACUAUAUGACACUCUGGAAAGGGCAAAACUCAGUGGUUCCCUGGGCAUCAGGGAAGGAGAGAGGGAUGAAUAGGUGGAACACAGGUCAUUUUUACUGGUAGUGAAAUUAUUCAGUAUGAUACUCUCAUAGUGGAUACAUGACCUUAUGCAUUUGUCAAAACCCAUAGAACUGUGCCACACAAAGUGAGUCCUAAUGUAAACUAUGGACUUCAGUUAAUCAUAAUGUAUCAAUAGUUGUUCCUCAGUUGUACAUUUGUUGGAAUUGAUGAACCAAUAUUGAUACAUUGUGAUUAACUGAAGUUUAUAUAUCAAUUAUGAAUUGAUAUACUUGUUAACACUAAUAUAAAACAGUAAUAACAGGGGAAACUAUGUUUGUAAUGGGAGAGAGGGCACAUGGGAACUCUGUACUUCAUGCACAAUUUUUCUAUAAACCUAAUACUGCUCUCAAAAGUCUAUUACAAAGGAAAAAAUUAUGUCCUUGUAAUCUUUUGAGACUGCUUUUCACUUAAUUAACACACAUAAGAUUCAGCCAUAUUUUAUGGCUAUCAUUCAUUCAGACUAUUAUAUGAUAUUCCAGUGUAUAAAUAUACUACAUUUGUCUGAUUUCUCAUUAAUGGAUAUUUGGGUUGCUUCCAGGUUUUUAUACUGUGAAUAAUGCUGCUAUGAACAUUCUUUUUUUUUUUUUUAACCUUUCUUUAUUUUUAUUUUUUUUUUUGUUUUUGAGAUGGAGUCUUGCUCUGUCAUCCAUCUAGAGUGCAGUGGUGCAAUCUCGGCUCACUGCAACCUCCGCCUCCCGCAUUCAAGCGAUUCUCCUGCCUCAGCCUCCUGAGUAGCUGAGACUACAGGUGCCCGCCACCACUCCUGGCUAAUUUUUGUAUUUUUAGUAAAGACGAGGUUUCACCAUGUUGCCCAGGGUGGUCUUGAACUCCUGACCUCAGGUGAUCCACCCGCCUUGGCCUCCCAAAGUGCUGGGAUUACAGGUGUGAGCCACCACGCCCAGCCAGCUAUGAACAUUCUUGUGUCUCCUGUGAUAGAUGUGGAAGAGCCUUUCACCCCUCAGCCAUUAGACCACCAGGGAGUGCAAGAGCUUUUCUUUGAUCUAUUUGGAUCUAUACCUAAAAGUGAAAUUGUCAGGUAACAGGGUAUAUGAACACUCCAUUUUGGUGGGUAACAUCAAACCUUUUUCCCAAAGUGAAUACACAAAUUUGUACUCCCAUCAGCAUCGUUUAAGAGACUCUGUGAGCGGAUCCACAUUUUCUUCAGUACUUAGUUUUGUAGUCUGACAAUCAAAGUAUUAGCUCAAUGUGGUCUUAAUUUUUACUUAAUCAAUAAAGUUGAACAUCUCCUCAUAUUCUGUUAACCAUAAGUUUCCUCUUCUGAAGCAUGCCCAUUGAUAUCUUUUGCCUAUUUUUCUAUUAUGUUAUAUGUGCUUUUCUCAAUUUUUUAGGAAUUUUUGAUGCUAAUUCUUUGUUAUAUAUGUAUAUUACAAAUAUCUUCUCCUAGUUUGUAACUUGUCCCUCUCUUUUUAAAAUGCUUUUGAUGCCAGGCAUGGUGGCUCACACCUGUAAUCCCAGCAGUUUGGGAGGCUGAGGCAGGUGGAUCACCUGAGGUCAGGAGUUCGAGACCAGCCUGGCCAAUAUGGUGAAACCUCGUCUCUACAAAAAUGAGCCAGGAGUGGUGGCAUGUGCCUGUAAUCCCAGCUACUUGGGUGGCUGAGGUAGGAGAAUCGCUUGAACCUGGGAGGCAGAGGUUGCAGUGAGCCAACAUCGCUCCACUGCACUCCAGCCUGGGCGACAGAGCAAGACUCCAUCUCAAAAUAAAUAAAAUAAAAUGGUUUUGAUGAACAAAAGCUUUUAAUUUUAAAAUGGUCAAAUAUCUU
rnacentral:lncRNA from 1 species